CUCUAACAUUGUCACCACCAAGUCCAUGCUGGUUCCACCGGUGAGAGAUGGGAGCCACGUGACCGGAGAAAACUAGAAGAAACGGUGGAAGCGAGCCUAGUUCGUAAAUCCUCUCUCUUCUCUGAAUCUCCAUCCAUUUCUCGAUACGUUUCGUGUAACCACCUCUUCUCCAUUUCUUAAGAUCUAUCACCAUCACACCUGUGUUGAAGUAACAUGGCUUCCUCCCUCUAAAGGUACCGGAGAAUCUCUCCUCCGACCAGAAUCCUCCGGUGAAGUAUUUCGUGAAAUUCGCGUGACAAUACUCCGGAGCUCCGAUUAUCCUCGAG
rnacentral:lncRNA from 1 species